rnacentral:lncRNA from 1 species
CGGGCAUACAGAUAGUGAUGUGCAUAGGGGCAAAAGAAGUCAUAAUGGGAAAGCCAUGUGGAGGCAGCAGAGUGCCUGGUGUCCAAGGAAGCAUGUAUAGGGGGUACAUAUGGUGGCAGUUGUAUGCUCAGCAGAAGAAGCACCAGGGAGGUGAAGGUCACGUUGACAGCAUGAACCUUCGAUGUGAUGUGAGGAAAAUGGCAUUCUACCUCUGUGUUCUUCCUCCCCAAAAUUUGUAACCACCAUCUAAUCAUGAGGAAAACAUCAUACAAGUCCAAAUUGAGGAAGAUUCUACAAAAUGCCUGAUUAAUAUUCAUCGAAACUGUCAAGGUCAUCAAAAGCAAGGAAAGUCUGAGAAACUGCCACAGCCUAAAGACAAUCCAGGGAAACGUGAUGACUCAGUGGUAUUCGGGGUGGGUUUCUGGAACAGCAAAAGGACAACAGGCACUGGACUUCAUUACUUCCUUACUGCAACCUGGCGCUUAAAGUGCUAUCAUCACAAGGAUGAAGAAACAGUUCAGAAAGGCUGAUUGAGAUGGCUAUGGUCAUGCCUUAUACCACUGGCAGGUAAGCCAAACUGAAUUUGUGGAAGAAAAAUAAGUCAGCGUUUAAUGGAUGGAACAGAGAGUGG